GGUUACUGCUAUCGGUGUUCGCUAAGCCAUGCGAGUCAUAUGUAGCAAUACAUGGCGUACUGCUCAGUAACACGUGGAUAACCUGCCCUUGGGUCCGGCAUAACCCCGGGAAACUGGGGAUAAUUCCGGAUAACGCAUAUAUGCUGGAAUGCUUUCUGCGUAAAAUGGAUUCGUCUGCCCAAGGAUGGGUCUGCGGCCUAUCAGGUAGUAGUGGGUGUAAUGUACCUACUAGCCUACGACGGGUACGGGUUGUGAGAGCAAGAGCCCGGAGAUGGAUUCUGAGACAUGAAUCCAGGCCCUACGGGGCGCAGCAGGCGCGAAAACUUUACAAUGCGGGAAACCGUGAUAAGGGGACACCGAGUGCCAGCAUCCUAUGCUGGCUGUCCGGGUGUGUAAAAUACACCUGUUAGCAAGGGCCGGGCAAGACCGGUGCCAGCCGCCGCGGUAACACCGGCGGCCCGAGUGGUGAUCGUGAUUAUUGGGUCUAAAGGGUCCGUAGCCGGUUUGGUCAGUCCUCCGGGAAAUCUGACAGCUCAACUGUUAGGCUUUCGGAGGA
rnacentral:rRNA from 1 species